rnacentral:rRNA from 1 species
UGAGGAAUAUUGGUCAAUGGGCGCGAGCCUGAACCAGCCAAGUAGCGUGCAGGAUGACGGCCCUAUGGGUUGUAAACUGCUUUUAUGUGGGGAUAAAGUGAGCUACGUGUAGUUUAUUGCAGGUACCACAUGAAUAAGGACCGGCUAAUUCCGUGCCAGCAGCCGCGGUAAUACGGAAGGUCCAGGCGUUAUCCGGAUUUAUUGGGUUUAAAGGGAGCGUAGGCCGUGGAUUAAGCGUGUUGUGAAAUGUAGACGCUCAACGUCUGAAUUGCAGCGCGAACUGGUUCACUUGAGUAUGCGCAACGUAGGCGGAAUUCGUCGUGUAGCGGUGAAAUGCUUAGAUAUGACGAAGAACUCCGAUUGCGAAGGCAGCUUGCGGGAGCACAACUGACGCUGAAGCUCGAAGGUGCGGGUAUCAAACAGGAUUAGAUACCCUGGUAGUCCGCACAGUAAACGAUGGAUGCCCGUUGUUAGUUCACUUAGGAAUUAGCGACCAAGCGAAAGCAUUAAGCAUCCCACCUGGGGAGUACGCCGGCAACGGUG